rnacentral:rRNA from 1 species
CCCGGGACGAACAGCUGGUUUCGACCAGCCUGACGGUACCGGGUGAGGAAGCACCGGCUAACUCCGUGCCAGCAGCCGCGGUAAUACGGGGGGUGCGAGCGUUGUCCGGAAUCACUGGGCGUAAAGGGCGCGUAGGUGGUUUGAUAAGGCUGUGGUGAAAGCCCGGGGCUCAACCCCGGGUCUGCCGUGGCGACUGUCAGACUGGAGGGCUCGAGAGGCAGACGGAAUUCCGGGUGUAGCGGUGGAAUGCGUAGAGAUCCGGAAGAAGACCGGUGGCGAAGGCGGUCUGCUGGCGAGUCCCUGACACUGAGGCGCGACAGCGUGGGGAGCAAACAGGAUUAGAUACCCUGGUAGUCCACGCCGUAAACGAUGGGCACUAGGCGCUUGGGGGAGCGACCCUCUGAGGGCCGGCGCUAACGCAUGAAGUGCCCCGCCUGGGGAGUACGGCCGCAAGGCUGAAACUCANAGGAAUUGACGGGGGCCCGCACAAGCGGUGGAGCAUGUGGUUUAAUUCGACGCAACGCGAAGAACCUUACCUAGGCUUGACAUGCACGGGAAAGCCCUCAGAAACGAGGGCCCCUCUUCGGAGUCCGUGCACAGGUGCUGCAUGGCUGUCGUCA